GACGAACGCUGGCGGCGUGCUUAACACAUGCAAGUCGAACGCUGAAGACCUGGCUUUUGUUGGGUUGGAUGAGUGGCGAACGGGUGAGUAACACGUGAGUAACCUGCCCUCUUCUUUGGGAUAACGCCCGGAAACGGGUGCUAAUACUGGAUAUUCACUGAUCUUCGCAUGGGGGUUGGUGGAAAGGUUUGUUCUGGUGGGGGAUGGGCUCGCGGCCUAUCAGCUUGUUGGUGGGGUGAUGGCCUACCAAGGCUUUGACGGGUAGCUGGCCUGAGAGGGUGACCGGUCACAUUGGGACUGAGAUACGGCCCAGACUCCUACGGGAGGCAGCAGUGGGGAAUAUUGCACAAUGGGCGAAAGCCUGAUGCAGCGACGCCGCGUGAGGGAUGGAGGCCUUCGGGUUGUAAACCUCUUUCGCUCAUGGUCAAGCCGCAACUGUGGGUUGUGGUGAGGGUAGUGGGUAAAGAAGCGCCGGCUAACUACGUG
rnacentral:rRNA from 1 species